GGAGUACGACUGCAAGGUUGAAACUCAAAGGAAUUGACGGGGGCCCGCACAAGCGGUGGAGCAUGUGGUUUAAUUUGAAGCAACGCGAAGAACCUUACCAGGUCUUGACAUCUUUUGAUCACCUGAGAGAUCAGGUUUCCCCUUCGGGGGCAAAAUGACAGGUGGUGCAUGGUUGUCGUCAGCUCGUGUCGUGAGAUGUUGGGUUAAGUCCCGCAACGAGCGCAACCCUUAUGACUAGUUGCCAGCAUUUAGUUGGGCACUCUAGUAAGACUGCCGGUGACAAACCGGAGGAAGGUGGGGAUGACGUCAAAUCAUCAUGCCCCUUAUGACCUGGGCUACACACGUGCUACAAUGGAUGGUACAACGAGUUGCGAGACCGCGAGGUCAAGCUAAUCUCUUAAAGCCAUUCUCAGUUCGGACUGUAGGCUGCAACUCGCCUACACGAAGUCGGAAUCGCUAGUAAUCGCGGAUCAGCACGCCGCGGUGAAUACGUUCCCGGGCCUUGUACACACCGCCCGUCACACCUAUAAGUUUGUAACACCCGAAGCCGGUGGCGUAACCCUUUUAGGGAGCGAGCCUUUCUAAAGGUGGGGCCGAGGGG
rnacentral:rRNA from 1 species